AAAAUACAGAAAACAAUAAAUUUUUAAUAAAUUUAAGUAUCUAUAAUUCAACUGUUAUGGCACAGAUACAAUGUGCUUUCCUAAUAGAUGUAUGUACAAAGAGAUAUACAGACAGAGUGACAGAAUGAUGGAACGAUAGAUAGAUAGAUAGAUAUAGAUAGAUAGAUAGAUAGAUAGAUAGAUAGAUAAAUAGAUAGAUAGAUACUCUAUUCAAAUAAACAUAAGGAUAUACAGAGAUUUGAUCCCUGAUUUAUGAUCUGCACACACACACACAAACUCCUACACACCCAAAGUCCAUUAAACGUUCAGCACGAACAUAACCUUUCAGGUCAAAGUUGUUCCACAAGUGAUCUGAUCAGUAUCUGCAUGCAAAUCCAGACUCACAGUGUGCUGUUGUUAUGCAAUUUACAGUUCCAUCACAAUAAUGAUAUGCAUUACAAAAUAGCAUUUGUUAAGUAUUUCAAAAGGGGGUUGAAAGGGCCCAUAAAGUUCGGAAGGUCUUCCCACAGAAUUCUACAGCUCACAAUAGUCCUCUGCCAUUUCAGUUCAGCUGCUGAACAGAACUAAAGAGUUCUGUCCUGUCAUUGCUGUCAUUUAUGCAAUGCAUAAUUCAUGUGUUUGCAUUGCACAUAUGCAUACAUAACAUGCAAUGAGGGUGUUUUCACCAUCCGAGCUUUCAACAGGGGAUUUCGACUUCCUCUCCUCUACAUUAAAGCAGCCUGGUUUAUAUUCCACAUUCCAAGUGUUGCACAAGAUUACAGUAUUACUGACCUUGGCUGACUGCAUUCAUUUUCCCAGAAGAGUCUUGAAGACGAGGAGGAAUGAAUCUCUGUGGUUCUGGAGAGUGGAAAUACUCUGGUGUGAUGCUCUGUGCUGUUUCUCAGGGCUUCUCACCCGCCCAAUGAGAGGGUCCCUCUUCCCCCUCCUCGCCUUCUCAUUGUACAAAGACAUACAGGUGGAGAAAGCAUAGCGAAAGGAUUUGAGCCCGCCGUGCACCUGCCCCCUGAAGCCAGCCAAACACAGACAGACACUUCAGUCCUUCUCUACAGGAGUCCUGCUCUGUGGCCACAAAAUCUCUAAGAUCCGUUUCUCUUUUCUUUGCUAUCGAAUCUUGUCUUUUGUUGUGCUAUCAAACUUGCUCCCGUUUCCCAGAGGAAAAGUUUACUGCUCUUUCACCACUCAGGAGACUGAAAAGAAUUCUCAUGUCUUUCUGGAACUCAGCUGGAACUCAGUUUCUCCUAAAAGAUCCUCAAGGCAAAUAAAAAGAUACAGAUGAGAUAAUUAAUGACAUACAGCAAUAGAACAUAGUAUAUACCUGUAUAUAUGGAUGGAAUUCAUGUGGAGCACCAAAUCGGAGCACAAUUUGAGACAUUGUUGAUAUUAUUGGAGAUGUUUUCUCAGGAGAAACAUCUGAGAAGCAGGAGACCUACAAAAACAUCUCAAAUGAAUCUCACUGCUGUCUAGGAGAAACAUAAAAUAUACAACAACUAUACUAUAUAUAUAUAUAUAUGUGUGUGUGUGUGUGUGUGUGUGUGUGUGUGUGUGUGUGUAUUGAUGGAUUUGUAACUGGCCCGAUUGACUGCCACUGCUGCAUCCUCACUAAAGUUUAUAAUUUGCAAGUGUUUUUAUGCCUUGCCAAUUGAAAUAUUCAAGCAAUUUGAAAGCAUUGAAGCGCAAGAAGACUAAAUAAAGUGCAAGACAACUCAAUUUAGUACUCAUGCGUUCUGUGUGUGUGUUCUGUAUACAGUGCGCACAAAGAGAGCCACGUCUCAGGCAACGCCUCAUAUUUUCUUUCUGCAUCUUCUUGCGCUUGAACGGACAAAUACAGACAAAAAUAUGUCACAUACCUCUCUUGGUGACCAUCCUUGAAAACAGUCGGUUAUGUCUUAAGUGAACUUAAACAGAUGAGAAAGAAAUAGGAUGUAUAUCACUAUAUUCGACCCAUGCAUUGUGUUUAAAGUGAUCGCACCUAAUUUACCAGCUGCUGUCAUUGUCCUUACAGGGAUAGUUCACUCAACUAUCACAAUGCAUGCGUGUGGUGUUGCUGACGCAGGAGGCGGUGUUCUAAAAAUAGAACCUGGAUGCGCUGCACCUUGCUUACAAGCAGAAGACUGCAUAUGCUGUACAUAAAACAGUCUUCGUAAACAUGUUAUAUGAUUUCAACAGAGAAGAGGACUUUCAAUUUUUUUACUUCUUUGAACCAGAAUAUACAGACAAUGAACUAAGAGAGUUUUAUGUCGGAAUAACAGCAUCACACGCAUGCGUCGUGGGACUCUUGUGUCGAAGACUGACACAGAAGUUAAGAAAUUGUUGAACGGAGUCAUUAUUUUUGUUUUCUUUGUGCACAAAAAUUAUUCUUGUAGCUUCAUAACAUUACAGUUGGACCACUGAUGUCACAAGGGUGAUUUAAUAACUUUAAUAUUAAUGUCUUUUUUUUUAAGUGGUAUUUUACUGGUAUUGGUAAUGACUACUGAAAUGUGGGUACCAUUACAACAUUAUGCUAAACGGUUUCAUCUGAUUUAUUAUUUGAAGGCCAAGUGCCACUAUAAUGUUGUGUUUUUGUAAUGGUAAAAUGGUAAAAGGUUUAGAUAAAGGAGCUAAUGUUUAAGUAUUUUUGUUCUUUUUUAUCAUGGUAUAUCUACUUGAGUAUAAAGUAUCGUACUUUUGGUGAUAUCAGUAUCGACUAGGGGUUGCACAGACUAAUCGACUAGUCGACUUCAAUUCUAUGCCAUGACGCUUUAAGGUUGACUUCGCCUAGUCUCUGGUCCUGUAGAGGGCGCAACAGGAUAAGAAAUCUUUGAAGGACUUCCACAUUUACGCUCAGUUUCUGAACAGUAAAAUGACAAAUAAAUGCAUUCUCUGAAAGCGCUCCACAAGACAUGUAUUAUUAUAUUACUGGAUGCUCGAAAUUGAAUUGGAGAAUGCACGUUUUAAACAGCCUAUUGUACAGUAAAUUAAUAGCCGUUCUAAUCUAAUGCGCUGCUGCACUGUAAGGCACACACAUAGGCUACAGACAGUAGCUUGUACAUCACGCGCUGAUCUUGCGCACACAGAAUCAUUCAGCACAGAAAUGUAUUGUCAACACUGUUCUAAGAUUUUUUCAAUAAAAUAGCUUAGAAACUGAAAAGUUCAAGCAUAUAUUUCUUAACUAAAUCCCACAGCUUCACUACUAGUAGGGAGACGCUGCCAGGUAGAAUUAAUUCACUGACACUUUUAAACAAUUUAAUG
ensembl:lncRNA